rnacentral:rRNA from 1 species
UGGGGAAUAUUGCACAAUGGGCGAAAGCCUGAUGCAGCGACGCCGCGUGAGGGAUGACGGCCUUCGGGUUGUAAACCUCUUUCAGUAGGGACGAAGCGCAAGUGACGGUACCUGCAGAAGAAGCACCGGCUAACUACGUGCCAGCAGCCGCGGUAAUACGUAGGGUGCGAGCGUUGUCCGGAAUUACUGGGCGUAAAGAGCUCGUAGGCGGUUUGUCACGUCGUCUGUGAAAUCCUAGGGCUUAACCCUGGACGUGCAGGCGAUACGGGCUGACUUGAGAACUACAGGGGAGACUGGAAUUUCUGGUGUAGCGGUGGAAUGCACAGAUAUCAGGAAGAACACCGAUGGCGAAGGCAGGUCUCUGGGUAGUAACUGACGCUGAGGAGCGAAAGCAUGGGUAGCGAACAGG